rnacentral:misc_RNA from 1 species
GAUGAAGAACGCAGCGAAAUGCGAUAAGUAAUGUGAAUUGCAGAAUUCAGUGAAUCAUCGAAUCUUUGAACGCAAAUUGCGCCCCCUGGUAUUCCGGGGGGCAUGCCUGUUCGAGCGUCAUUACAACCCUCAAGCUCUGCUUGGUAUUGGGCCCCGCCAGUUCUGGCGGGCCCUAAAGUCAGUGGCGGUGCCUUCCGGCUCCGAGCGUAGUAAUUCUUCUCGCUCUGGAGACCCGGUUGUGUGCUUGCCAACAACCCCCAAUUUUUUAAGGUUGACCUCGGAUCAGGUAGGGAUACCCGCUGAACUUAAGCAUAUCAAUAAGCGGAGGA